GGGGUUGUAGCUCAGUGGUAGAGUGCAUGCCUCACGUGCAUGAGGCACUGGGUUCAGUACCA
rnacentral:tRNA from 1 species